rnacentral:rRNA from 1 species
AACAGAGGGGGCGAGCGUUAUCCAUGAUGACUGGUCGUAAAGGGUAUGUAGGCGGUUACUAGUAAAAAAGCUUGAUUAGAAUGAUACGUAAUGACGUAGGCUUAAUCUUGCACUGUUUAUCUAUGAGAUGUAAAGAAGUUAUUGGAAAACGUUGUAGAAAUGGGCAUUUGAUUCUAAAUAUAACGGGUAACACCAAAGUCGAAGGCAAUUAACUUGUUACAAUCUGACGCUAAGAUACGAAGCUUAAUAAAGCGAACGGU